rnacentral:lncRNA from 10 species
GAAUGCCAAGUGACUAUUUCCUGCAUUGAAGAAUACAUCUAGCAACCAAAACAUAGACCUGAAUACCUUUUGUUAUAACCAAGCCUGAGACUGUCAUUCCAGAUGUGAUUACAGUUCCUAGUCAGUUGACUUUAAGGACAGGGGAUCACCUGGUGGGUCUGACUUCGUUAGUUUGAAGGCAAAAGCCUGAAAACACAGAACAAACAAAGGACACAGCACAAAGACACAGAAGCCCCCAGAGGCAGAGGUCACUGAGAGGUGAUUAUCCUCC